CCUGUCCUUGAAGCAGUUGCUGCUUAGCUCUCUUCUCCUGCAUCAGCUUUUGCCGGUUCUCGUAAAAACCAAAAUCAUCCAAGAUUGAUGUCUUGCUGAUGUGGUCCUUGAAAAUCUUGAGCAUUUCAAGACCUUGCUCAAGGGAUACCUCUUGUGUGUCACGGCUGUUUGUCACAGGCUUAUUGUCGUUGUUAUCCAAUGUAAUGUGCUUCAAGAUGUUGUUGGGUACAUCCUUGACAACAUGCCACUUGAUUGGAAAACACCCAUUCCACUUGUCUUGUUGCCAAUAAUCCACUGUCUUCUCAAAAUCAACAGGACCAACCAUUUCAGCAACACCAACAAACUGGCCACUUGUAGAAGAACAAGAAGACUGGGCAUUCACUGGAUUUCUCCUGCGCUUCACGGUAUCCAGCAUCCAGCUUCUUGUUUCCAUUAGGAGUGCUUGCCCACACAUUGUAUUUUAUACUUUUGUGCACAUCAUCCUCACUGUAAGAUUUGAU
rnacentral:sRNA from 1 species